rnacentral:rRNA from 1 species
CACAUGCAAGUCGAACGGAAAGGCCCCUUCGGGGGUACUCGAGUGGCGAACGGGUGAGUAACACGUGGGUAAUCUGCCCUGCACUUCGGGAUAAGCCUGGGAAACUGGGUCUAAUACCGGAUAGGACCCCGAGGCGCAUGCCUUGGGGUGGAAAGCUUUUGCGGUGUGGGAUGGGCCCGCGGCCUAUCAGCUUGUUGGUGGGGUGACGGCCUACCAAGGCGACGACGGGUAGCCGGCCUGAGAGGGUGUCCGGCCACACUGGGACUGAGAUACGGCCCAGACUCCUACGGGAGGCAGCAGUGGGGAAUAUUGCACAAUGGGCGCAAGCCUGAUGCAGCGACGCCGCGUGGGGGAUGACGGCCUUCGGGUUGUAAACCUCUUUCACCAUCGACGAAGGUUCGGGUUUUCUCGGAUUGACGGUAGGUGGAGAAGAAGCACCGGCCAACUACGUGCCAGCAGCCGCGGUAAUACGUAGGGUGCGAGCGUUGUCCGGAAUUACUGGGCGUAAAGAGCUCGUAGGUGGUUUGUCGCGUUGUUCGUGAAAUCUCACGGCUUAACUGUGAGCGUGCGGGCGAUACGGGCAGACUGGAGUACUGCAGGGGAGACUGGAAUUCCUGGUGUAGCGGUGGAAUGCGCAGAUAUCAGGAGGAACACCGGUGGCGAAGGCGGGUCUCUGGGCAGUAACUGACGCUGAGGAGCGAAAGCGUGGGGAGCGAACAGGAUUAGAUACCCUGGUAGUCCACGCCGUAAACGGUGGGUACUAGGUGUGGGUUUCCUUCCUUGGGAUCCGUGCCGUAGCUAACGCAUUAAGUACCCCGCCUGGGGAGUACGGCCGCAAGGCUAAAACUCAAAGGAAUUGACGGGGGCCCGCACAAGCGGCGGAGCAUGUGGAUUAAUUCGAUGCAACGCGAAGAACCUUACCUGGGUUUGACAUGCACAGGACGCGUCUAGAGAUAGGCGUUCCCUUGUGGCCUGUGUGCAGGUGGUGCAUGGCUGUCGUCAGCUCGUGUCGUGAGAUGUUGGGUUAAGUCCCGCAACGAGCGCAACCCUUGUCUCAUGUUGCCAGCGGGUAAUGCCGGGGACUCGUGAGAGACUGCCGGGGUCAACUCGGAGGAAGGUGGGGAUGACGUCAAGUCAUCAUGCCCCUUAUGUCCAGGGCUUCACACAUGCUACAAUGGCCGGUACAAAGGGCUGCGAUGCCGCGAGGCUUAGCGAAUCCUUUUAAAGCCGGUCUCAGUUCGGAUCGGGGUCUGCAACUCGACCCCGUGAAGUCGGAGUCGCUAGUAAUCGCAGAUCAGCAACGCUGCGGUGAAUACGUUCCCGGGCCUUGUACACACCGCCCGUCACGUCAUGAAAGUCGGUAACACCCGAAGCCAGUGGCCUAACCCUUUGGGAGGGAGCUGUCGAAGGUGGGAU